AAAACAUAGCCCUCUGAAUACAUAAAGGGUCCCGCCUGCCCAGUGGAUAAAUCUAAACGGCCGCGGUAUUUUAACCGUGCAAAGGUAGCAUAAUCACUUGCUCUUUAAAUGAGAACUUGUAUGAAUGGCAUUACAUUUUUUAACUGUCUCCUUUUCUUACUUUUUAAACUUCUACUUACGUGAAGAAGCGUAAAUAAAACAGAUAGACGAGAAGACCCUGUCGAGCUUCAGCUAAAACUAGACAACUAUAAAUCUUAAAGAAACUAUUAAAUCUAGAAAAAGCUUUGGUUGGGGUAACCAUGGAGAAAAAAAAUCCUCCAGAAAAUAAGAAGAAAACACUUCACUUAACUUAUAACAAAGAACCAGAAUACUGGUAAACGGAAAAAGUUACCGCAGGGAUAACAGCGUUAUCUUCUCUCAGAGUUCAUAUUGACGAGAAGGUUUGCGACCUCGAUGUUGGAUUAGGAUAACCUAAAGGUGCAACAGCUUUUAACGGUUGGACUGUUCGUCCAUUAAAACCCUACG
rnacentral:rRNA from 1 species